rnacentral:rRNA from 1 species
GACAGAGGGUGCAAACGUUGCUCGGAAUCACUGGGCGUAAAGGGCGUGUAGGCGGGAAGGGAAGUCGGGCGUGAAAUCCCUGGGCUCAACCCAGGAACUGCACUCGAAACUUCUUUUCUUGAGUGCCGGAGAGGAAAGCGGAAUUCCUGGUGUAGAGGUGAAAUUCGUAGAUAUCAGGAGGAACACCGGUGGCGAAGGCGGGUCUCUGGGCCGUAACUGACGCUGGAGGAGCGAAAGCGUGGGAGCAAACAGG